AGGUCAGUAGCUCAAUUGGUAGAGCACCGGUCUCCAAAACCGGGGGUUGGGGGUUCGAGCCCCUCCUGACCUG
rnacentral:tRNA from 1 species